GGGGGCAUAGCUCAUGGUACAGCAUUGGGCUGCAGAUCGAGAGGCCCCCGGUUCAACCGGAUGCCCCCU